rnacentral:misc_RNA from 1 species
AAUCCCCUAAAAAGUCUCAUUUGAUUGCCUAAUUAUUUUUUUCAUACUCUCGUUUCUUUUCAUUAGUAGUUUCAAGCUUGUUAUGUUUCUCAUUUACCCUAUUUUUUUACAACGAAAUCCUAUAAAAAUAGGAUUCUCUUAUCACAAACUUAGAAGGUAUAGGGACUAUAUAAGAUUUUAAUAACUACCAUUUCAUUUUUUUUUUUUAAUUGACAUAGCCUCAAGUCAUAUAGUAAAAUUAGACUGAUAUGGAAAGGAUG